AUUUAUUUGUUUAUUUACCAAUCAGGCAGUCUAGGAGUUGCUCUGGAGCAACCUGGAUGGAGAAAAUUCAAUGAGGCCUUCAUGCCAGGAGAGGGAAUGUAGUUUGUGUGUUUGCUCCUCUGUUCUCUUUAGAUGAUGAGUAUCAACCUAUGGAUGUUGAUGGGCAUAUAAUCGCAUGAAGCACAGAAUAGCAACUGACAUGCUUUCACCAUUUUCAGCCCUGGUUGAGUUGGGAGAUAUGUGACUCUUGCAUUUUGUGAAAAGCACAACUUUGCUUUCGUUCCAUGGUGAUGAUGUCUUUUAGAAGGGAUUUCAAGUUCCAAUUAAAACAGUGUUUGGGCCAUUGCUUUGCCUGCCAGUGCUUAAUCUUUUCCGAAAGCCUCAUCACUUAUCUAAAACAAAAGAAGAACGAGGGAUUUCCUUGGUUUGGGGAGGAGAAGGACGGCAGAUGUCAGAAGACCCAGCCAACCCUGCCCUGUAUGCCCUCUUCGUUAUCUGUGCCGCAUGGUUAGCUGAGUGAUGCAAGGGCCAGGGCAUCAAAUUACUAAUGAGUCUGAGACAGUUACCGUUAUUUUAGAAAAAUGCUAAAAGCUUUUAAUAAUGCUGCGAGAAAUGAACCUUUUUUGAGGUAUGUGAUAUUCUGCAUUUUAUAAUUUAUCUCUGUGUAGUUUCUAAGAAAGUUAAUGAAGUUACAGAGUAAUUAAACCACGUCUCUUGCAGCUUUGUUGGCUUCCUGUAUAUAUGAAACAGGCAUUGAUGUACUAGAUGUUAUCUCUUAUGGAAGAGGUGCAGAAUAUUUUAAUAGCCAUUGUGCAAUUAUAUUUUGAGUUACAUAACUAGUGGGAUUUAUUGGUUUUCUUGUAUUUGCUUUGUUUUCAUUUGUGUCUAGUUUGGCUUGUAUAAAUCUACACAAUGUAGUGGUUUAAUUGCCAACAGAAUCCAGGCUGAAAGCCAGCUUUUAAGGAGUACUAGUCUAAUGCCAAAGUAAUGUAGUGCCUGAAUCUGGUGGGAGGAGAGGAGGAUGCAGGAAAGAGUGUAUGGGCUGUGGCUAUAAAUUACUGAGUUCUGUGUCUGUCUGUUGGAACAUCAUGCUGUAACUGCAAAAAUCAGAGGAAAACUGUACUUUCUAGAUUAUUGUGUUUUUUUUUUCUUUUUUUUGUAUUCAGUGUUAUUCUAACAGGUCACAGAGAAAGAACUUGUCCAUUUCAAACUUUAAGUAAAAAUAAGCAUACGUGAAAUGGGUUGGAAAGGAUUUUUAAGGAAGUAGCUCCAGCCCUCAGCUGCAGGUCAUAUCAUCUGCCAGAUGAUUUCAGAAGCAGACCCUCUUCUCAGUUUUCUGCUGCAGUACUUUUUCAUUGAAACACUAACUUAUUUCCUGAGGAGUUGGUUUUCUCUUCCAUGAUGAAGCAUUUCUGUAAUUGCAGAGCAGAUUUACUAUGCAGAGUCCUGUUAGUAGACAGCUAAAAAGGCCAUUAAACUACAGUUCCUGAAGAUCACUCCUGUGCCGUGUCA
ensembl:lncRNA